UAAGCGGAGGAAAAGAAACUAACAAGGAUUCCCCUAGUAACGGCGAGUGAAGCGGGAAGAGCUCAAAUUUGAAAUCUGAUAGCCUCAGGCUAUCCGAGUUGUAAUCUAUAGAAACGUUUUCCGCGCUGGCCCAUGUACAAGUCCCUUGGAACAGGGCGUCAUAGAGGGUGAGAAUCCCGUCCUUGACACGGACCACCAGUGCUUUGUGAUACGUUUUCAACGAGUCGAGUUGUUUGGGAAUGCAGCUCAAAAUGGGUGGUAAAUUCCAUCUAAAGCUAAAUAUUGGCGAGAGACCGAUAGCGAACAAGUACCGUGAGGGAAAGAUGAAAAGCACUUUGGAAAGAGAGUUAAACAGUAUGUGAAAUUGUUGAAAGGGAAACGAUUGAAGUCAGUCGUGUCUAUUGGACUCAGCCGGUUCUGCCGGUGUACUUCCUUUAGAUGGGGUCAACAUCAGUUUUGAUCGCUGGAAAAGGGCGGGAGGAAUGUAGCACUCUCGGGUGAACUUAUAGCCUUCCGUCGUAUACAGUGGUUGGGACUGAGGAACGCAGCAUGCCUUUAUGGCCGGGGUUCGCCCACGUACAUGCUUAGGAUGUUGACAUAAUGGCUUUAAACGACCCGUCUUGAAACACG
rnacentral:rRNA from 1 species